rnacentral:lncRNA from 1 species
AUUCUCCUCCUCUUCCAAUCCUAUUUAUGAGCCCUUCCUCUCUACAAUAGCUCCCUCCACCUCCUCACUUUUCUCCCCAACGACCCUCAUUUCUCCUCCUCUCCUUCCUCCUUAUCCACUUUUCUUCAUCAUCCUUUUCCUCCUCCAAGCCCAUUUUUUAGAUCCUCUCUCUCCAUGACAGCUCCUUCCAUCUCUGCCAUGUCUAUGCCGGCAACCUCUCCUCCCAUUUCUCUUCACCCAUUCUCCUCCUGCUCAUCCUCCUCCUCUAAUUCCGUCCAUGAGGCCUUCAACAUUGCCUUCUCCUUCCAUACCGAUAUCCAUGACUCCAUCCUUCCUCUCCAUAAUGGCUCCCUCUAUCUUCAUCUUUAUUUUCUGGUAAAACGGAUAACUCAUACAAGCCUUAAGCCUUGUA